CGAAGGGUGCAAGCGUUACUCGGAAUUACUGGGCGUAAAGCGUGCGUAGGUGGUUUGUUAAGUCUGAUGUGAAAGCCCUGGGCUCAACCUGGGAAUGGCAUUGGAUACUGGCGAGCUAGAGUGCGGUAGAGGGCAGUGGAAUUCCCGGUGUAGCAGUGAAAUGCGUAGAGAUCGGGAGGAACAUCUGUGGCGAAGGCGACUGCCUGGACCAGCACUGACACUGAGGCACGAAAGCGUGGGGAGCAAACAGGAUUAGAUACCCUGGUAGUCCACGCCCUAAACGAUGCGAACUGGAUGUUGGGAGCAACUAGGCUCUCAGUAUCGAAGCUAACGCGUUAAGUUCGCCGCCUGGGGAGUACGGUCGCAAGACUG
rnacentral:rRNA from 1 species